GUGUCUCUUGGCAAAAAUUACUUUCAGAAAGUAUCAGUUCCCUAUAGUCAGCUUAAAGACUUCCUGGAAUGUCAUGCUAAAAAUGAGUCAAAUUCCUGGCUAAUUUCCUUCAAGACAACACAAAGAAGAUAUUACACUGCUUGCUUUGGCCCAGAGCUCCUCUUAUCUAAAAAUAAAUAAGUAUAUUUAACAAGAAAGAAAUUCUAAGCCUUUAAAGAAAUCUUGAUUUUACUUGUUAUACGAAACUCUUGCUAUAUUUGUCCCGGCUUUGUCAUAGUUUUAGGCACUUCUAGGCAUACCAGAGAGACAUCUCGUUUAAAUUACCGAGGUUCUGUGCUUUUACGAGACACUGGAUUAGGAACGAGACACCUCAACCAGACUCCUCCGGCUCUUUCCGAGUAUGGGCACAACCUCCUGACAAGCUGGCAACUUCAGAUGAAUGUCAAGUAUUUGAAAAGCGAAGUUGGUUGACUGCCACCUCCUCGCUGUUUUGUCACUUAAACCUUAAAAUUGAGAUGGCAAAUGCAAAACGUCAUCCAUAAGGUCUUCAGGAAAGGAACUCAUGGAUCUCCUUUUAAUUGUGAAGAGGUUCCCAGACAUUUCCUCAUGGCGCAUUUCCUCAUCCCACGUAGUCCGAGUCAUAGAUCAAGAAUCUAUAAGAUUUAAAUGGCAAAUAUCCGCACAUUUAUAAACGGCUUUGGUAGAAUCAUGCUUUCAAACAUGUUUUUGCUCAUAAUUCUCUGGCAAGUGACAAAACCAUUACCUUCCUGUGAAUUAAUUCUUCCAGAACAUCUCAGUUUACCCAAGUAACAACCACGGAGGGCUCACGAAACAUCCUUGGCGAUUGACUUCUGAAGUACACGCAACAAACCAGGAACAGCAUCCGUGAUCCACGGAGCCCCUGUAACCAGGUUUCACUGACACAAAUGGGUCCUUCAACAUUCUAGUGAGACUUGGCUUGGUGUUACUCUUCGACACCCCCAAUCUGCUACUCAUUUGUGGCCACUCCACCCCUGAGAAUAGGGCAUCCCCCAAAGGCCAACCUUAAGGUGAGUCAGGAGCAUUGGAUGUGAGGUAAGUGGCUGGCAGACAAUUAGCACGUUGGCAGAAUUAACUUCUCUUGGCUUCGUUCUUUUAAAGAAUUGUGGAAGAAAGCAAUUUCUUAUUUUUUUUUUAAUAAAUUUAUUUGUUUAUUUUUGGCUGUGUUGGGUCUUUGUUGCUGC